GACGAACGCUGGCGGCGUGCUUAACACAUGCAAGUCGAACGGAAAGGCCCUGAUUUUGUGGGGUGCUCGAGUGGCGAACGGGUGAGAAACACGCGAGUAACCUGCCCUUGACUGUGGGGUAACUUCAGGAAAAUGGGGCUCAUAUACGAUAGGAGCUACUGCUGCAUGGUGGGGGUUGGAAAGUUUCGGCGGUUCGGGACGGACUCGCGGCUUAUCAGCUUGUUGGUGGGGUAGUGGGUUACCAAGGCUUUGACGGGUAGCCGGCCUGGGAGCGUGACCGGCCACCUGAGGACUGCGGGACGCACCAGACUCCUACCGGAGGCAGCAGGGGAGAAUCUUGCACAAUGGCCGGAAGCCUGAUGCAGCAACGCCGCGUGCGGGAUGCCGUGCUUCGGGUUGUAAACCGCUUUCGCCUGUGACGAAGCGUGAGUGACGGUAAUGGGUAAAGAAGCACCGGCUAACUACGUG
rnacentral:rRNA from 1 species